CCUACGGGAGGCAGCAGUGGGGAAUAUUGGACAAUGGGCGAAAGCCUGAUCCAGCAAUGCCGCGUGAGUGAUGAAGGCCUUAGGGUUGUAAAGCUCUUUUACCAGGGAUGAUAAUGACAGUACCUGGAGAAUAAGCUCCGGCUAACUCCGUGCCAGCAGCCGCGGUAAUACGGAGGGAGCUAGCGUUGUUCGGAAUUACUGGGCGUAAAGAGUACGUAGGCGGUUAUUCAAGUCAGAGGUGAAAGCCCGGGGCUCAACCCCGGAACUGCCUUUGAAGCUAGAUAGCUAGAAUCUUGGAGAGGUCAGUGGAAUUCCGAGUGUAGAGGUGAAAUUCGUAGAUAUUCGGAAGAACACCAGUGGCGAAGGCGACUGACUGGACAAGUAUUGACGCUGAGGUACGAAAGCGUGGGGAGCAAACAGGAUUAGAUACCCUGGUAGUCCACGCCGUAAACGAUGAUAACUAGUUGUUCGGGCACUUGGUGCCUGAGUGACGCAGCUAACGCAUUAAGUUAUCCGCCUGGGGAGUACGGUCGCAAGAUUAAAACUCAAAUGAAUUGACGG
rnacentral:rRNA from 1 species